UUUCCGUAGGUGAACCUGGGGAAGGAUCAUUAUUGUAUAACCGAGGUGCGAGGGCUGUCGCUGACCCGAAAGGUCGUGCACGCCCGAGUGCCCUCACACACAUCCAUCUCACCCCUAUGUGCACCACCGCGUGGGUCCCCCUUUGGCUUGUUCGGAGGGGGGCUUACGUUUUCACACAAACUUUGUAUGCAGUGUAGAAUGUAUUUUUUGUUUUUGCGAUCACGCAAUCAAUACAACUUUCAACAACGGAUCUCUUGGCUCUC
rnacentral:misc_RNA from 1 species